GAUGAACGCUGGCGGCGUGCCUAAUACAUGCCAGUCGAGCGAACACAUAAUGAACUUGCUCCUUUGACUUUAGCGCCCGACGUGUGAGUAAACCGUGGGUAACCUACCUAUCAGUCUGCGAUAACUUCGGGAAUCCGGAUCUAAUACCGCAUAAAAUUUGGAACCGCGUGGUUCUAUCGUAUAUUAUGGUUUUGCUAUCACUUAUAGAUUGUUACGGGACGUAUUAGCUAGUUGGUAAGGUAACGGCUUACCAAGGCAACGAGACGUAGACGACCUGAGAGGGUGAUCGGCAGCAGUGGAACGGAGACGCGCGCCAGACUCGUGAGGGAGGCAGCAGUAGGGAACCUUCCGCAAGGAGCGGAAGCGUAACGGAGCAAAGCGGCGUAAGUGAGGAAGAGUUUCGGCGCGUAAAACAAGGUGAUUAGGGAAGAACAAAUGUGUAAAAAAAGGGGCAAGUCAUGACGGUACCUAAUAAGAAAGCCACGGCUAACUACGUG
rnacentral:rRNA from 1 species